CACCCAAAAAAACAUUCCAAAAAAACACCAAAGGCUGAUAAAAUAUCUAUUUUUUUAUUCUAACAUUUACCUUCAUGCCACAAUCUGCCAUUAAUCUCCGUCUACGCUUUGGAUAACAAAGUUGAGCAUCUUGGAAAAAGUCCUCAACCACUGGCAAGAAAGUUUGCUGUUGCCACUGGCGUCUAUAAAGUCCACCUUCAGCUCGAUUCAAGGACGGCAACAGGAGAACAGAAAUGAAUAGUCAAAUGUAACUUCCAAAAUGCUUUAUGCACAAAUAACACUCAGGUAAUACUGCUUUUUUUUUUUUUUCGCUCUUUUUUUUGUUUGUUUUGUUUGUUUGUUUUAGAAUAAAAUGAUAUUUGAAUAACAUUUACACAUCAAGCUGACGAGACUGGGAUCUCAAUCACAAUACUACUGGAAAUGUAAUUUAUGCAAUCCAGUAAGGAACAUUCAAGAUGUCAAAAAAUUACCAUGUCGAACUGAGCUAUCAGGGAUAAGUGCUGCAAAUUACCUCUGAACAUGCACUGAAGCGUAAAACACAAAUGGCCAUUCGAGUAAAAUCGAAAAUAAUAAAUAAAAAGUAGAAAAAUGAUAAAUUAAAAUUGUGCCUCGAGAAUUCAUCGUUUGGGGGUGAAAACAGGUUUUUCUCCUUAUAUACAAAUACUUUUCCGGGGUGUAACGCUAAUCCUAAUGGCUUCUCGCCUUCACACAACGUGUUCGCUGAUUUAAGCUGGGAGAACGUGACACCAGACUUUUUAAGAAUGAGUAUUGCAGUUUCUGUACUGGUUAUAGAGUUUCCUCAUCUACCCUCCUCACUCUUACUAUGAGCGGUGAUACAUGCAGAUUCUGUACAUUUUAGAUUUAAUGCCACUUAGCUUUUUUUUUUAGAUUUGAUUUGGGUUUUUCUGUGAAAUUCAGACUUUCUCAGUCAAUUUGCUGUUGAAAUGUAAUAAUUUAUGAUCUGUUCCAAGCUAAGGGUUUAAGGCGAGACACUGCAGGGGAACAGUUGAUUAGUUUUCUGAACUUUAAAGUUUGAUUAUGCAAAUUAUGUAUUAUUUAAUUGAAUAUGCACCAGUUUUAAUGAAUUACAUAAACGCUUAAAUGUGCAUUUUGGACAUUUAAUGGAAGCAUAACAUCCAAACAAUGCCGUGUCUCGCCUUAAAACAAUAGCUAUUAAUAGUUCCCAAGGCAUCAUGGGAAAUAUGCUCAUGUUUUUUUUUUUGCCAAGCUCUAAAAACAGUGUUACCGCAGGAGACAGGUGGCUUAUCAAGAAAAAACCUUUCUACGAGCCCCUCCAGGAAAUGUUUGUGAUAUGUUCUGCAGCUGCCCUUACAGAGUACGCACUGUUGCAUGCAGCAUGUAUGCAACUGGGACACGCUGCUUUGUCUGAAUAUUGUGACCGUCUUGCCCAUAUGCAUGUCACGGUCUGUCGUGUGGAAUGAGCUGUCAUGUGCACGCUCAGCGGCGGAGACACCAUGAUGUAUGUGAUGCAUCUUCUGCAGAGGAUUGUGGGUCAGAAUGGUCAGAGGACUGUAGAAGGCUUCAAGAUGUAGGAGGAUAUUGUGGUACUUUUGUUGUCUCUGGCAGACUAAAUGUAGUAGCAUGGGUACUGGUUGGUUUGUUAGCAUGCCAACAGUGAAUGUCAAAGCCAUUUUGAAGAUAAAUAUCGAGCAGUAAACAACUAUUUGCUAUGUAAAGCUACAGUAGCGUCUUUGCCAGAGAAUGAAGUUAAACUCUCUCUCUGUGUGUCGUAAUUACAGCUUCUCUGUUCCAUGUUCUGGUAGCUGGCACGCCCACAGAUGGUACAUGUGACACCCUCAUUGUGAAAGUCAAAGAGCAUUCAAAAGCAAAGUUAUUCACCUAAUUUAUGUGCACUCCCUUCAUUGUGAGCAUCUCUGCUCACCUCUAGCCCGCUCCAUUAUGUUCUGCCAUCUCUCCUCUGCUGGUUGUGACCAUUUAAUGCGUUAUACAGUGCAAGCGUGGACUGAUGGUCGUGGCUGGAUUAUUUUUUGUUGCCUCUCUGGUUGUAGCUGAAACCCAAAGGUUGAGGGAUUGUGGCUGACGUGCCCAUUUGUUUAGCAGGUGGUAUCAAUCUUCCUGUCUCACUCUUGGCAAAAAAAAAAAACCAAGCUGGCAUAUUUCCCAAAAUGCCAAACUAUUCAGUAAAAAUCUGCUGUAUUGUAGUUAAUAAAUGCAGUCCCGCAGCUGGAGGUUUUCUGACAAAAGUAAGGCACAGUGACUAAACCGAGUUAAUGCUUUUUGAACACAGUUUGAGAAAAGCGGAGCGUCACAAUAAAACCGUCUUGAAGAAAACCCCAUGGCGCUUUUUUUUUUUUUUUUUUUUCUUUAAAACAUUUUGCCAGUCUGAAUUCGGUCAGCAUCACUGAAACACAUAAAAUGAAAUCACGAGAUAAAACCAACGUCGGGGCAAACAUGAAUAUCGAAAGGAAAAAACAAAACAAAUAUCUGUAAAAGCCGAGUGAAUGUUUGUGUGCUAUUUUACAUACUGUAAGAACAAUAGACACAACCACAGUCCAACAUGAAAAGUUCUUCACAACUUUAAAAAUAGUAACAUUUCCUGUAUCCGCACUAUUCCAGACACCCAUUAUGAACACUGCCAGUCAGUGUUUUUUUCCAUCGGGGGUCUGAUUUUCAUCAAUAUACAAGUUAUGUGCUAUAAGGUGUUCCGUCUCCUCACAGCUUCAAAGUCUGUGUGAGAGCUGAUGCUUUCUCUCCACUGCUUUUGAGGAGCUGGUCCAUCCCGCUGAAGGAGACUGCUUCCUGUCAGUAUAUUCCAAAACUUCAUGUCAGGUCAUCAGUCUUUGUUGGCUCUCUGGAGGGCCUUUUGGAUUCCAACUCGGGGCUGAAGAUGAAGAAACUGGGAUGGAUGUCGGGGUGGAUCCGUCGUCUGCUGGAAAGGCAGUUUUCAGGUUCGGCGUUGGGAAUGCGGUGAGUCGACCCGGAACAGAAACAGAUGAGAGUUGCAUAUUGUGGACGCCAGUGUUGUGCUUGGGCGCACGGACAGGAUGCAAGAGCUUCCUCAAACACUCUCUCCGGUAGCCUGAAGCACUCCUCGAAGAAGUUCACCAGGGACUGGCUGAGGUGCUGCCUUGUGGCGUCGCUGUGGAUGAAGUGGCCUUCAUCUGGGUAGAUCUGAGGCACAACGCAGAAGGAAGACUUUUCCACUUACUUGAGCGCCUCCUUCUGGUCCUGCUCCUCGUACACUCCCAGCCUCUUCUGGAUGCGGUGCAGCAGGUUGGUGCCCUGGAAGCCGCUGCCUCGCCCGUCGCAGCGCACCACGAUGGCGCCGAAGCUGCUCACAAGAACCGUGGCCCAGUCCAUGUGGAACUUCUCCGACACCAUCUGGCCACCAGGUGUCCCGUCGCUGCACCACAGACAACCAGAUCAGCACAAUUAAUGCUGUGAGGCACAUUUUUAAAAAAAAAACUAACAGGAUAUGAGUUGGUGUCUGUGUAGAUGCCUGAAUACAUAACAUUAUCCUCUCAUUUACCAGAAACUAGUGCACAGGGGAAAUACAGGAAAGCUUAACACAGAG